UACGGAGGGUGCAAGCGUUGUCCGGAAUCACUGGGCGUAAAGGGCGCGUAGGCGGCUCAUGAAGGCUGUGGUGAAAGUCCGGGGCUCAACCUCGGAUCGGCCGUGGCGACUCGUGGGCUGGAGCACUGUAGAGGCGGGUGGAAUUCCGGGUGUAGCGGUGGAAUGCGUAGAGAUCCGGAAGAACACCGGUGGCGAAGGCGGCCUGCUGGGCCGUUGCUGACGCUGAGGCGCGACAGCGUGGGGAGCAAACAGG
rnacentral:rRNA from 1 species